rnacentral:piRNA from 1 species
UUCUUCUUCUUCUCAUUGUUGUGACAAAA